rnacentral:rRNA from 1 species
GACGAACGCUGGCGGCGUGCCUAACACAUGCAAGUCGAACGGAAAGGCCGUGCUUUUGUGGGGUGCUCGAGUGGCGAACGGGUGAGUAACACGUGAGUAACCUGCCCUUUACUGUGGGAUAACUUCAGGAAACUGGGGCUAAUACCGGAUAGGAGCUCCUGCUGCAUGGUGGUGGUUGGAAAGUUUCGGCUGUUGUGGUUGGAUGUGGGGCUUAUGAGCUUGUUGGUGGGGUAGUGGCUAAGCCAGGCUGUGGCGGAUAGCCCACAUGGGAGGGUGACCAGGGACAAUGGGACUGAGGGACGGCCCAGACGGGAACGGGGGACAGCGGUGGAAAGUCUUGCACAAUGGGCCGAAGGGUGAGAAAACGGUGUCGGGUGGGGAAUGACGGUUAUGGGGGUAGAAAGGGCGUUAGGCUGAGACGUUGCGGUUGUGACGGUAACGGGUGAAGAAGCACCGGCUAACUACGUG